rnacentral:rRNA from 1 species
CGAGCGGACAGAAGGGAGCUUGCUCCCGGAUGUUAGCGGCGGACGGGUGAGUAACACGUGGGUAACCUGCCUGUAAGACUGGGAUAACUCCGGGAAACCGGAGCUAAUACCGGAUAGUUCCUUGAACCGCAUGGUUCAAGGAUGAAAGACGGUUUCGGCUGUCACUUACAGAUGGACCCGCGGCGCAUUAGCUAGUUGGUGGGGUAAUGGCUCACCAAGGCGACGAUGCGUAGCCGACCUGAGAGGGUGAUCGGCCACACUGGGACUGAGACACGGCCCAGACUCCUACGGGAGGCAGCAGUAGGGAAUCUUCCGCAAUGGACGAAAGUCUGACGGAGCAACGCCGCGUGAGUGAUGAAGGUUUUCGGAUCGUAAAGCUCUGUUGUUAGGGAAGAACAAGUGCGAGAGUAACUGCUCGCACCUUGACGGUACCUAACCAGAAAGCCACGGCUAACUACGUGCCAGCAGCCGCGGUAAUACGUAGGUGGCAAGCGUUGUCCGGAAUUAUUGGGCGUAAAGGGCUCGCAGGCGGUUUCUUAAGUCUGAUGUGAAAGCCCCCGGCUCAACCGGGGAGGGUCAUUGGAAACUGGGAAACUUGAGUGCAGAAGAGGAGAGUGGAAUUCCACGUGUAGCGGUGAAAUGCGUAGAGAUGUGGAGGAACACCAGUGGCGAAGGCGACUCUCUGGUCUGUAACUGACGCUGAGGAGCGAAAGCGUGGGGAGCGAACAGGAUUAUAUACACUGGUAGUCCACGCCGUAAACGAUGAGUGCUAAGUGUUAUGGGGUUUCCGCCCCUUAUUG